GGCGGCUCUGCAAAAGACAGGAUCAGGGUGUCAGCAGGCUCGGUGCCAGCUCUGUCCCUCCAAAACCACAUCUGGGUGUUUUUCAAAGGAGACCAUGCCCCUGUACACAAAGGGAAGGGUCCUACCUUCUUUCUAUUAAUACUGCAUACUGUGCACUUACUUUGCACCAAGCAAUUUGUAUUAACUGCAAACUUCACAAUAAUCGGAAGAUGCAAAUAAUAUUGUGGUUUUCAUUUUACAGAUAAGAAAACCGGGGCUCGGAGAGUGGACCCAGCUGGGGAUGACCUCCGUGCCGAGAAUACACUCCCCGUUCCCAAGGGCCUCUAAUCCCAGAAAUAACGCCUGAGCCUGAAAAGAGGGGAAGGACAGCCGGAGCAGUGGUUUGUGGCGGACGGGGGUUCUAAUUUGAGCUCCAUCUCUGACCCGGGCAGUGGUCUGGAGCAUGAUAUAAGAACCGAGAGCCGUGGGGCGCCUGGGUGGCUCAGUGGUUAAGCCACUGCCUUUGGCUCGGCUUGAUCUCAGGGUCCUGGGAUCGAGCCCCGCAUCGGGCUCUCUGCUCGGCAGGGAGCCUGCUUCCUCCUCUCUCUCUGCCUGCCUCUCUGCCAAAUAAAUAAAUAAAAA